UUGUCUUCAAUUAUUUGGCAUUCUGUUUCAUUGCGGGUUCUCUGUGAAGUGCGGAGACCGAUUGUGCACUACCUGAGUGCUCAUAUCAUUGCCAAAAAAAAUGAGGCCCGGAGGCGAAUACGACCCCAGGUCGAUUUAGAGGUUGUGGACAAAUUAGUUUGUGAAAUAGUGGAGAUUCCUAGGCAAUUGAUUCAUCUUUCAAUACCUGUUUAUAUUUCAGGAAGCCACUCCAAAUCCUUGAGCUUGAUGAGAAUCUGCUUUUUGAAAAUGUUGUCUAUCUAGUCUACCAUCUGAAGCUCCCUCGAGAACAUACAUAACACGAAUGGCGUCAUGGUGGA
rnacentral:sRNA from 2 species